AAUAGCAGCUCAGAAAUGUAAAAAAGCAAAAUUUGCCAACUUUAAAUGGCUCAAUGAUUUUUAAACAGGAGUAGGUUGAAAGGUAUGAGUUUGUCUUGUGUGUUCACGACUAUAAAAUAAAUAUUUAUACAUAAAAAUGAUGCCCACCACCAUUAUCCACUGCUUACAACAGCAGGGCUAACAAAGCACUCAUUUUAUUUUUUGGUUGUAUCAUUUCCACAAUCAGUAUCAGUGACGAGAUGUAUCAUAUGUCCUUUGCCUAGAGCAGCUUUUUUUAAUAAUCACUUCAGCUCCUGCCUUCUUUGGCCAUUUCUUUCCAAACAAAUACCAGAUCAGAGUUCGUUUUAAACACAAAGUCAUACACAUGUGCACAUUUAUUGAAGGUGCAAACGUAACAUAUCAGGCAAACCUUGACGAUAAA